GGCUUCAUGCUUAAAAGCAAGAAGAGAGACCUUCAUAGAGAAGUAGGAAAAUGAAUUGUUGCACAAAUAAAGGGCCAUGUAACAAACAAUUAAGGAGCAGCAGUGGCUUCCUGUAGGGGAGACCAAUGCCUUCUGUCCUCAGCGGAAACAGCUUGGCAUUCUUCCAAUUGAUGAAUGGCAUGGACCAGGAGCACUAGUUAUCUUCAGCUUCUGAGCAUCCCUAGGUUACCAGCAAGUCCUAUGACUUGAUGUGGAGGCCUGGAAGUGCAUCCUUGAACCUUGCAAUGCAGUGAGCCAAGGAGCAAUGAGAGGCCACAUGAAUAACCGGGCCAGUGACAAGACACAUGUCCUCCUCCUUGCUGGUAUACACCAGAAUGCCAUGCAUCCAGCGAAUGCUCAAAAAGUGUUGGUGGAAGUGACAGAAUUCCAUCACCAUUAAACACAACCAGUGUUACGGUUGACAAUGGGCACUGAAGCAGGUGAAAAAUCAAUACAGCAGCUUCUGUCUUUGAAGAGUUUGCAGCCUCUUGAAGAGGGUUUAGAGGUUCAGGGCAAAAAGGAAGAGAGGCACUCCAGAUCAGAGAUCUGCAUUGGAAACUCCUUGAGAACCAGAAGGGUAUGCUGUAUUUUUGUAACUGUGAGGAGCCCAGAAAGACUGAAGCCCAAAUAAACUUCCUUUAUUUGUUUCCCAUCUUACACUUUUUCAGAAUAGAUAUUCCCAUGGUAGAAUCAUGGGCUGACAUUAUCACAUUAUAAAAUUUUCUCUGGUUCUGUCUCUUCCCCUCCGGAACACACAUGGAUGAUUCUUAUUCCUUAAUGCCCACAUUAAAUAACUGUAUACACCAUGAACUGGAGGCCUUGUGGACUGCGCUGUUUAAGUAGCCCAUUGCUUUCUUGUAUGACUGUCAAAUAUUUCAG
rnacentral:lncRNA from 1 species